rfam:Corynebacterium efficiens YS-314 DNA, complete genome.
CUGUAACCGUUGCGCUGAUGUGCGACGGAGUCCGUAACGGUUGCAGUGAGUUUUUCAGACGUCCAUCGCACCGUGCACAAACCCACGCGUGCACGGCCCGAACACGGGAGAGAACGCUGAGCGUUACAAC